CUUGAACAAAAAAAAGUAUUAAAUCAUUUAAAUACAAAUCAAGAGACAUGUUUAUAGGACAAAGUAAACUACUUUAAACUAUUCAGAGAGAAAGUUAAAUGUAUUAUAGUUGCCAUGUUCAGAGAUACAGUGCCUUUAGAGUAGAAAGCACUGUAUCCAUACCCCUUGAAAUACUCCACAUUUUGUUGUUACAGCAGGGCUAUUCAAUUCUUACCCUACGAGGUCCGAAGCCUGCUGGGUUUCUGUUCUACAGAUAAUUAAUUACACCCACCUGGUGUCCCAGGUCUAAACCAGUCCCUGAUUAGAGGGGAAUCACCCACCUGGUGUCCCAGGUCUAAAUCAGUCCCUGAUUAGAGGGGAAUCACCCACCUGGUGUCCCAGGUCUAAAUCAGUCCCUGAUUAGAGGGGAAUCACCCACCUGGUGUCCCAGGUCUAAACCAGUCCCUGAUUAGAGGGGAAUCACCCACCUGGUGUCCCAGGUCUAAACCAGUCCCUGAUUAGAGGGGAAUCACCCACCUGGUGUCCCAGGUCUAAAUCAGUCCCUGAUUAGAGCGGAAUCACCCACCUGGUGUCCCAGGUCUAAACCAGUCCCUGAUUAGAGGGGAAUCACCCACCUGGUGUCCCAGGUCUAAACCAGUCCCUGAUUAGAGGGGAAUCACCCACCUGGUGUCCCAGGUCUAAACCAGUCCCUGAUUAGAGGGGAAUCACCCACCUGGUGUCCCAGGUCUA
ensembl:lncRNA